rnacentral:pre_miRNA from 1 species
UAUUAAAAAAUUUAUCUAUUUUUAUUGAUAAAAAUAAUUAAACAGUUACAUGUGAUGUGCCAUGUGCAUUUUAUUCUGAUGUAUAAGAACUAACUUUUAGUAGUAGAAAUAGAUGGAAUUUUUAACA